rnacentral:rRNA from 1 species
AUGAACGCUGGCGGCGUGCUUAAUACAUGCAAGUCGAACGAAGACAGUAGCAAUAUUGUCUGAGUGGCGAACGGGUGAGUAACGCGUUGGUGACCUGCCCCGAAGAGAGGGAUAACAGUCCGAAAGGAUUGCUAAUACCCCAUGUGGUCAUUUGGAUUAGAUGCCUUAUGACUAAACGGAUUUAUUCGCUUCGGGAGGGGCCUGCGUCCCAUCAGCUAGUUGGUAGGGUAAUGGCCUACCAAGGCUAUGACGGGUAGGGGACCUGAGAGGGUGGCCCCCCACAAUGGAACUGAAACACGGUCCAUACACCUACGGGUGGCAGCAGUAGGGAAUAUUGGUAAUGUGCGAAAGCGCGAACCAGCAACGCCGCGUGCACGAUGAAGGCCUUCGGGUCAUAAAGUGCUUUUAGAGAGGAUGAGGAAGGACAGUACUCUCUGAAUAAGCCUCGGCUAACUACGU